GUUGUCCCAUAUUUGUAAAAUUAAUUAGAUUUGUUUUAUGGAGAAAAAUGAAAUUGUGAGGUUUAUAUUUUUGGGACAACAAAGCAUAGCUUUCAUUUUCUAAAGUUAUUGAAUAGUAUUAUCAAAUUUCCUUGCUUCUUGUUGGUAUAAAUAAAGUUAGAAAUGUUUUAACUUGUAUAUAUGUUUUAAUUUUGUGUUGAAGAAAAUAGUAUAGAAAGUGAAAUAAAUAAAGGCAAUGAUUUGGUUUUACUUAUGUGUAUUUAUAAAUUGUAUAUGUGAUUGUUUGAAAUUAGAUUAACUGAGUGCAAGCACAAGUGAGGGAAAGGGGCACAUCCAUGGUUGACUAAACAAGUAAUAGAGUUUUUGUUGACGUGUACAUAGUAUAGAAGCGAGUGAUCUCUCUUGUGGGCAGCUGCACAUGUCAAGUCACUAUCCUCCUUUUUGCUGGUACAAUUGGAAUUCUCACGUGGCAUACUUAGGCUAAUUUUUGGUUGUUUAUAGUUAGUUUGGAGAUGUAAGGUUAUGUAACUUUCUUUUGCUAAUGGGGUUGUAAGUAAUUAUCGAAGCAUGUUAUCGUUAUAGUAGUAAAUGGUUGUGUUAACAGGUUUAGUUAUUUAUAUAAUAGUGUUGUAUGUUGAGUGUU